GUGUCAGCAGCCGCGGUAAGACGAACCGUGCGAACGUUGUUCGGAAUCACUGGGCUUAAAGGGCGCGUAGGCGGUCUGCCAAGUCCGGGGUGAAAGCCUCCAGCUCAACUGGAGAAGUGCCUCGGAUACUGGCGGACUCGAGCGAGGUAGGGGUCGUGGGAACUUCCGGUGGAGCGGUGAAAUGCGUUGAUAUCGGAAGGAACGCCGGUGGCGAAAGCGCACGACUGGACCUCUUCUGACGCUGAGGCGCGAAAGCCAGGGGAGCAAACGGGAUUAGAUACCCGCGUAGUCC
rnacentral:rRNA from 1 species